GACGUAGGGCGCGGGCGUGUCCGGAUUUAUUGGGCGUAAAGAGCUCGUAGGCGGCUUGUCGCGUCGUUCGUGAAAAACCUGCAGCUCAACUGCAGGCUUGCGGUCGAUACGGGCAGGCUAGAGUUCGGUAGGGGAGACUGGAAUUCCUGGUGUAGCGGUGAAAUGCGCAGAUAUCAGGAGGAACACCGGUGGCGAAGGCGGGUCUCUGGGCCGAUACUGACGCUGAGGAGCGAAAGCGUGGGGAGCGAACAGG
rnacentral:rRNA from 1 species